rnacentral:rRNA from 1 species
CCUACGGGAGGCAGCAGUGAGGAAUAUUGGUCAAUGGACGAGAGUCUGAACCAGCCAAGUAGCGUGAAGGAUGACUGCCCUAUGGGUUGUAAACUUCUUUUAUAUGGGAAUAAAACGUUCCACGUGUGGGAUUUUGUAUGUACCAUAUGAAUAAGGAUCGGCUAACUCCGUGCCAGCAGCCGAGGUAAUACGGAGGAUCCGAGCGUUAUCCGGAUUUAUUGGGUUUAAAGGGAGCGUAGGUGGAUUGUUAAGUCAGUUGUGAAAGUUUGCGGCUCAACCGUAAAAUUGCAGUUGAAACUGGCAGUCUUGAGUACAGUAGAGGUGGGAGGAAUUCGUGGUGUAGCGGUGAAAUGCUUAGAUAUCACGAAGAACUCCGAUUGCGAAGGCAGUUCACUGGACUGCAACUGACACUGAGGCUCGAAAGUGUGGGUAUCAAACAGGAUUAGAUACCCGAGUAGUC